GACGACGCUGGCGGCGUGGAUUAGGCAUGCAAGUCGAACGGUAUCAUCCUUCGGGGGUGAGAGAGUGGCGAACUGGUGAGUAACACGUAGGUUAUCUACCCUCAAGACGGGGACAACCCAGGGAAACUUGGGCUAAUACCGGAUGUGAGCAACUUUAGUGUUUGAAAGGUGGCGUAAGCUGUCGCUUGGGGAUGAGCCUGCGUCCUAUUAGUUAGUUGGUGAGGUAACGGCUCACCUAGGCAAUGAUAGGUAGGCGGCCUUAACGGGUGGUCGCCCACACUGGGAUUGAGAUACGGCCCAGACUCCUACGGGAGGCAGCAGUCGAGAAUAGUCUACAAUGGUCGGAAGACUGAUAGUGCGACGCCGCGUGAACGAUGAAUCCCUUCGGGGUGUAAAGUUCUUUUAUAUGUGAGCAGUGCUUCUUAUAUUAACAGUAUGGGGAGAGAGAUAUUAGCAUAUGAAUAAGCAACGGCUAACUCCGUG
rnacentral:rRNA from 1 species